rnacentral:rRNA from 1 species
GGAUGAGCUGUGCCUAGGGGUGAAAGGCCAAUCAAACUCGGAGAUAGCUGGUUCUCUGCGAAAUCUAUUUAGGUAGAGCGUCAUCCGAAUACCCCGGGGGGUAGAGCACUGGAUGGGUAAUGGGGCCCCACAGGCUUACUGAUCCUAACCAAACUCCGAAUACCCGGGAGUACUAGAUGGCAGACACACUGCGGAUGCUAACGUCCGUAGUGGAGAGGGAAACAACCCUGACCUACAGCUAAGGCCCCUAAUUCAUGGCUAAGUGGGAAAGCAGGUGGGACGACCAAAACAACCAGGAGGUUGGCUUAGAAG